GAACUGUGACGUGGUUUGGAAUCGUCACCCAUUGACACCAGGGUGGACUCAGCUGACCUGGCUGGCCUUCCUCUUCCACCACUUCAUUUAUGUCCCACUGGGGCAAUGUGCUUCCCUGAAUGGGAAGGUACUUCCUUUCGUAAAGAAUACCCAUUCUUGUGUCAAAGAUACAUGUCUAGCUAUGUUCCCUGCUAGUACCUCUGAACAAGCUCUCAAAAUAAAAAUUAUUAAUUAAUUAAUUAACAAGAGCAUGGGGAGGGCAACUGUGUUCUCUUGGGCUACCUUUGGUAGGCCGCCACUGUGUA
rnacentral:snRNA from 1 species